AAACACUUUAAAAACCGCUUGCUUCAAAAACACAACGCUUUCAACUCAACUAGGUUUAGAAACUUCUGAAUUCUAACUUCUUUAUUUACUGGUAUUUUCUUCCCGAUAUUUAAUCAUCAACGACCAAAUAACAAAUGAGCCACUUGCACUAUGAAUCGGUGUCUUUAUAUACCAAGAGCGCGGACCUCGAAGAGAGCACCCUAGCAACAAUUAACGCGUCUCAUAACAACC
rnacentral:lncRNA from 1 species